GCCGGGUGCAGUGGUGCACGCCUGUAAUCCCAGCGGCUCGGAAGGCUGAGGUAGGAGGAUUGCAAGUUCAAAGCCAGUCUCUGCAACUCAGUGAGGCCCUAAGCAACUCAGCGAGACCCUGUCUCUA
rnacentral:sRNA from 1 species